GUUAAUUAAACAGAAAUAAAACUUUAUCUUCAAAAUGGAUACAAAAAAAACGAGGAAAAGCGUGAGUAUCAUUUGGUGAUCCAUCUACUCUAAUACUUAGCACCUUCAUUUGAAUAAAUUUCAUUCCUACAAGAUUCAGAAACAGUGAAGAAAAAACCAUGCAUUACUAAGUUUUGGUCCAGGCUAAGCAGAAGCAGGCAGACAGAAGCUUAAAAUAUGUGUUAUUAUUGACAACCUUGUGUCCUGUUUGAUUGGUUGCUUCACAACGAAGUAAUCAAAAUGCUAUAUCUCCAAACUACUGUCCUUCCCAGUAAAUCCCAGAUGCCCUUCUCCUUUUUGUAGCACAAAAAUGGAUGAUUGUUUGCGUUCAUUCUCAUCAGUUAAUGUUCAGAAUUCUAGUUUAGAAUCUACUCAUGCCAUUAUUCAUUUGGGAUUCUUGUUUCAUUCCCCUGUAUCUACCCAUUGCACUCUGAAGUAGUUUUCUUGCUAUGCUUCAGGAGAAUCUCCUUCAAAUACUGAAUAUGAUUCUGAACCUAAACCUGACUCUAACAAAAGAGUUAGGCCUAAGGCAAGAACGCAGUCUUCAAAAGAUGUGGCAUCUGGCAAUGGUGAAAUAGGUUCUGCUGAUGCCUUCCCUACAACAAUUCCAAGGAAGCCAAGGCAUGCAGGGGCGGAGCUAGAAAUUUUUUUGGGAGGGGCGAACAUGAAAACUAUAAAUUAAGAAGAGUGAAAAAAUGAAAAUUAAAAGGAAACUAAACUAAAAAAUUAAAGGUUUGGGAGGGGCCAUUGCCCCCCUUCCCACAAACGUGGCUCCGCCACUGAAGGCAUGGUCGUAGAAGCGAAGCGAUGGCAGUGGAAGAUUACAUACAUGGUUCGUUUGAACGCACAUUUGAAAUAAUUCGGCAGCAAAAAUAAGAUGUUUUGGAGGAUCAGGAAAACAUAAUGAAGGAUAGCGUCCAUGGCAAUUAUGAAUCUGGAAGCAGUGAUGAUGAUGAUGAUGAUGAUGAUGAUGAUAAUGAUGAUGAUGAUGAUGAUGGUGAAGAGGAGUUGAAGCAGGACAAUGAAGAAGAGAAAGAUGAUGAAGAUGACAAUGACAGGGUAAAGAAUAUGGUGAUUGAGGAAGAAAGUGAAAACUGAUGAUUACUGGGUGCAGGAGAUCAACUGUUUGGAGUGGGAGAAUUUUGCUUUCCAUUCCAGCCCAUUAAUUAUCCUUGUAUUUAAAGGUUAUAACAGCCUUUGGUGUUUGAAAUUGUUAUUCCACAUAGCAAGUGAUAACUGGAAACUUUUGAAAGAGCUGGAGGAAGCAAUCAAAGUAUAUUGGAACGCCAAAGAUCGGUUACCUCCUCGGGCUGUUAAGAUUGACAUUAACAUCAAGAGAGACUUGGCAUAUGCCCUGAAAUUUAAAGGAUGUCCUCAAAUUUUGUUUUUGCGGGGACACGGAGUAGUGUACAGGAAGAAAGAAGUGAGAAGUGCCGAUGAGCUAGUUCAGAUGAUGCCAUUUUUCUAUUACAAUGCAAAGAAAGCCUGCCUGGAUUGACAACAAGGCUUUGCCACGUUUUCGUUUUUAAUGAAAUUUCAGAAAUGUCAUGUAGCCCUUAUCAACUAGAAUAUUGUCUUUGUUGUGAUGCGUACAACCAAAUAUGCCGCAACAUUUGUUUCACUGUGAUCUUGUAUUAAGGAAAAGUAAAUAACUAAGGUGAGUUUGUGUA